rnacentral:rRNA from 1 species
UACGAAGGGUGCAAGCGUUAAUCGGAAUUACUGGGCGUAAAGGGUGCGUAGGCGGUUAGUUAAGUCUGUCGUGGAAAGCCCCGGGCUCAACCUGGGAAUGGCGAUGGAUACUGGCUCGCUAGAGUGCGGUAGAGGAGAGUGGAAUUCCCGGUGUAGCAGUGAAAUGCGUAGAGAUCGGGAGGAACAUCAGUUGCGAAGGCGGCUCUCUGGACCAGCACUGACACUGAGGCACGAAAGCGUGGGGAGCAAACAGGG